GGAGCAGGUCACGCUGCUGGCAACCGUGCCUGAAAUGCCGUCCAGUGCAGGAAGAGAAUGAAUGCUCUCAUCCGCUCCACAAGGAAUCUUGUGGAAUUGCUUGGGUCCAGCCAUGUCAUUGUUGACUAUUUGAUGCUUAUCAGCUAACAGAGCAGGUCUUCUUCGAGUUAUCUAUUUUCAGCAAGGUAAUCCUCUCCUGAUUACUCAACCUUGAAUUGCUGCAUCACUUCCCUAUCACAUGACAACAUGAGGCAAAGGCUGAAAAUGAGGAAAGGAAUAUACGUCACAACCAAAGACUGAAAAAAACGCAUCUGGAUUUCUUUGAAACAAAUGAGCCUUGUCAGGGUGACAGAGCUUCUGCCCCAAAAACAGACCCCUCUACAAAUG